AACGAACGCUGGCGGCAUGCCUAACACAUGCAAGUCGAACGAGACCUUCGGGUCUAGUGGCGCACGGGUGCGUAACGCGUGGGAACCUGCCCUUAGGUUCGGAAUAACUCCCCGAAAGGGGUGCUAAUACCGGAUAAUGUCUUCGGACCAAAGAUUUAUCGCCUUUGGAUGGGCCCGCGUUGGAUUAGCUAGUUGGUAGGGUAAAAGCCUACCAAGGCGACGAUCCAUAGCUGGUCUGAGAGGAUGAUCAGCCACACUGGGACUGAGACACGGCCCAGACUCCUACCGGAGGCAGGAGUGGGGAAUAUUGGAACAUGGGCGAAAGCCUGAUCCAGCAAUGCCGCGUGAGUGAUGAAGGCCUUAGGGUUGUAAAGCUCUUUUACCCGGGAUGAUAAUGACAGUACCGGGAGAAUAAGCUCCGGCUAACUCCGUG
rnacentral:rRNA from 1 species